GGAGUAUACUAUGAUGAUAACAUGGAAUAAGUGUUGGUAAUGGCACCUGAUUCUGAUGAGGAACCAUUCCAUGCUGCCUUCCUUCUGACAUCUCC